rnacentral:lncRNA from 1 species
GGUUGGGUGAGAACUGGACGUGCUGCAUUCAUUAUCAAGCAGACCCAUCCCCAGCAACGUCAACCUAAAGAAGGAAAGGCCAGUUUGCAUUUCCUUCACUUUCGAAGGUCACUGAGAUCAUAACGUAAAACAUGUCAUGCGACGGGGUAAAGGUUAAUUGGGUGAGGACGACACGUGUUGCAUCAUUAUCAAGCAGGUACAAAAGCCGCAAGGCUUAAGAGGUGGGUCAGGGUGAGAAAAAGUCGUUUAAAAGGCGAGAGAAAAGGCGUUUGAAAUUAGUUGAUAGAGCAUCUCCGACACGACAGCAACUGCAGCGUACUAAAUCGCAAUUAUAAUUGCUUAAAAGGAGAGAAAAGGCGAAAUAGUCAGUCGAGUGAUUAUCUCCUACACGACAACAACUUCCGUGCACUGUUUGUCACCAACUGCCUUCUUCAUCAUAUAUAGGUAAACUGUGGCGUCGUGAUGCUGUUGGUUGUUGUCCUCAAAUACUGCACCACCGAGGCUUCGAAGUAUUACAUUACAACUUAUGCUGCCCCGAGCUUCAUCACUAAAAAGCACGAACCGAUCCCCGGCAACGUCAACCUGCAGAAGGGAAGGCCAGUUUGCAUGUCAUUCACUUUCGAAGGUCACAGAGAUCAUUACGUAAAACUGUCAAUGCGGUGGUGUAGAGGUUGGGUGAGAGUGGGAAGUGUUUGCUUUGCUUUAUUAUCAAGCAGGUUUAAUAGUCGCAGGGCGUAAGAGAGGGGUCAGGGUGAGAAAAAGUCGUAUAAAUGGCAAGAGAAAAAGCCACGGAACUCAGUCGAGUGAGCAUCUCCGACACGGUAACAACUGCCGUGCACUAUUUGUCACCAACUACCUUCUUCAUCGCAUUAACAGUUCGAAAUCAUGUUUAGAUAACUAUGACGCCAUGCUGCUGGUUGGGUCGACCACGGGUGUACAGACGUCUCCUGGACAUGGUGGAUACCAAGCAACAGCAGCGAAGAAAUAGUACACCACGCCGCCACCUAACCUAACAAAACAAGUCAACAUACACAACAUCUACUUACUACGCCGAGACUCUGAAGUGCUACACCACCAAGACUCCCAGAGUUACGCGACAAAUUACGCUGCCCCGAGUUGCAUCACCAAAGCGCCCGAGUACUACACCACCGAGUAUACUGUCCCAGCCUACUACACCGAAGUCCCCAAGUACUACACGACUAUGAAUGCAGCCCCAGCCUACUACACCGAGGCUCCAGCUUAAUUCAAUACUAAAGCAGUCGAGUACUAUGUCGAACCGCACAAGUACUACUCUGCCCCGAACUACUCCACUACAACUGAGGCGGUGAAGUACUACGUAGCCCAGACUUACAACACAGCAGCUGCUCCUUCGUACUACGUUGAACUGAAUGAUUGCACCAAAGCUCCAGUUUACUACACAACCUACGCUACACCUAGAUACUAUGACGAAGUCCCCAACUACUACACCGAAGAGGCCACAUAUUACACAACCAGAUACACUGCCCCAGUUUCCUACACUGAGGAACCCAAGUAUUACUCUGCUCCAAGCUACUACAAAACUGAGGCUCCUGUUUAAUUCACCAAGCCACCGAGUAUUAAAGUUAAUUAUGGCGUGGUGCCGUGUUGGUUGUUGUAUCCUUGGUGGUUGGGUCAACCACUAGUGUACCGAUGUUUCGUGGUUAUAGUGGAUUCCAAACCACAUCGCCGCUGUCUUACUGCACGACAAAAACAUACGCAUCAUCCAGAUAUUGAACCACCAGGGCCCCAGAGUAGUACACCAAAACUUAUGAUGUCCUGAACUACUACACCGAAGCCCCAAAAAUAACUGCUCUAAGUUACACCACGAAGGCAGCGGAGUACUACACCACGAAGGCAGCGGAGUACUACACUACGAAGGCAGCGGAGUACUACA